rnacentral:rRNA from 1 species
UACGGGGGGAGCAAGCGUUGUUCGGAUUUACUGGGCGUAAAGGGCGCGUAGGCGGCCAGCACAAGUCAGUUGUGAAAUCUCCGAGCUUAACUCGGAACGGUCAACUGAUACUGUGCGGCUAGAGUGCGGAAGGGGCAACUGGAAUUCUUGGUGUAGCGGUGAAAUGCGUAGAUAUCGGGAGGAACACCUGAGGCGAAGGCGGGCUACUGGGCCGAUACUGACGCUGAUGCGCGAAAGCCAGGGGAGCAAACGGG